UAUGUGAUCGUCUCUCGCAUAUCAAUAAGCGGAGGAAAAGAAACUAACAAGGAUUCCCCUAGUAACGGCGAGUGAAGCGGGAAGAGCUCAAAUUUGAAAUCUUAAAGGGUUUCCCUUUACGAAUUGUAGUUUAAAGAAGUGUUUUCUGUUGAGGUUUUGGUAAAAGUUCUUUGGAAUAGGACAUCAUAGAGGGUGAGAAUCCCGUAUUUGACCUUUACUUUCAACCUUGUGAUACACUUUCAAAGAGUCGGAUUGUUUGGGAAUGCAGUCCAAAAUGGGUGGUAAAUUUCAUCUAAAGCUAAAUAUUGGCGAGAGACCGAUAGCGAACAAGUACCGUGAGGGAAAGAUGAAAAGAACUUUGAAAAGAGAGUUAAACAGUACGUGAAAUUGUCAAAAGGGAAGCGUUUGACACCAGUGUUGUUUUUCUGAAAAUCAAUUAAAGAACUGUUUAUGCUAAGCUGUUUAGACUUUAUCAGCUAUCUGUUUAGUUUUAGGCUUUUCUUUAAUGCACUUUUCAGUUAACAAGUCAACAUCAAUUUCUUUUGCUGUAAAAAAGCUUGAGGAAGGUGGCUUGAGAUUCGUCUUAAGUGUUUAUAGCCUCUUGCCUAUGCAGUCGGAGAGAUUGAGGUCUGCAGCGUAGAUCCUUCGGGGCUAAAUGCAUUUGUGCUAAGUUAUAGCAUUUUAUAGACAAUUUGUUGACUAUGAUUUGUCUUGUAGCUUACUCGCUUAUGUUAUUUUACCUACGCUUAGGAUGUUGAUCUACAGAGCGAGAGU
rnacentral:rRNA from 1 species